GAUGAACGCUGGCGGCGUGCCUAAUACAUGCAAGUCGAGCGAACAGACGAGGAGCUUGCUCCUCUGACGUUAGCGGCGGACGGGUGAGUAACACGUGGAUAACCUACCUAUAAGACUAGGAUAACUUCGGGAAACCGGAGCUAAUACCGGAUAACAUGUUGAACCGCAUGGUUCAACAGUGAAAGACGGUCUUGCUGUCACUUAUAGAUGGAUCCGCGCCGCAUUAGCUAGUUGGUAAGGUAACGGCUUACCAAGGCAACGAUGCGUAGCCGACCUGAGAGGGUGAUCGGCCACACUGGAACUGAGACACGGUCCAGACUCCUACGGGAGGCAGCAGUAGGGAAUCUUCCGCAAUGGGCGAAAGCCUGACGGAGCAACGCCGCGUGAGUGAAGAAGGUCUUCGGAUCGUAAAACUCUGUUAUUAGGGAAGAACAAAUGUGUAAGUAACUAUGCACGUCUUGACGGUACCUAAUCAGAAAGCCACGGCUAACUACGUG
rnacentral:rRNA from 1 species